ACAGAGGUCUCAAGCGUUGUUCGGAUUCAUUGGGCGUAAAGGGUGCGCAGGCGGCGUGGAAAGUUGAGUGUGAAAUCCCGGGGCUCAACCCCGGAACUGCACUCAAUACUCCCAUGCUAGAGGAAUGUAGAGGAGAGUGGAAUUCACGGUGUAGCAGUGAAAUGCGUAGAUAUCGUGAGGAAGACCAGUUGCGAAGGCGACUCUCUGGGCAUUUCCUGACGCUCAUGCACGAAGGCCAGGGGAGCAAACGG
rnacentral:rRNA from 1 species